rnacentral:rRNA from 1 species
AUUGAACGCUGGCGGCAUGCCUAACACAUGCAAGUCGAGCGGAGCUGCGGACGGGUGAGUAAUGCCUAGGAAUCUGCCUGGUAGUGGGGGAUAACGUCCGGAAACGGGCGCUAAUACCGCAUACUAUCAGAUGAGCCUAGGCCGGAUUAGCUAGUUGGUGGGGUAAUGGCCUACCAAGGCGACGAGCCGUAACUGGUCUGAGAGGAUGAUCAGUCACACUGGAACGGAGACACGGUCCAGACUCCUACGGGAGGCAGCAGUGGGGAGUAUUGGACAAUGGGCGAAAGCCUGAUCGAGCAAUGCCGCGUGUGUGAAGAAGGUCUUCGGAUUGUAAAACACUUUAGGUAGGGAGGCGUUACCAACAGAAUAAGCACCGGCUAACUACGUGCCAGCAGCCGCGGUAAUUC